rnacentral:lncRNA from 1 species
UGCAGAUUCAAUGUAUUUUAUUCAAUAAUUUUCUUAUUUGAAAAUGUUAACAAACAAUUGUGCAUGAAUCACUCAGUUACAAAAAUAUUUAAUUUUGAUAUAAACUUAAAGUAAACAUGUUUUCAAGUGCCAUUAAGUAAAAUUACAUGUAAUUAACUAUCAGUUUCCUUUGGUAUCACAUAAAGAUAAAGUUUCAAAUCCCACCUUCCCCAAAACAAAUAGCCCUCUUCAAAGCAGUUGUCAUAAUUGUGAAGAUAAAAAUGACAUGAUUUAAAGCUCCAACUCUGUGUAUUUAUCAAUUUGACUGUUUUCAAUUUCUGUAGAUUCAGUCUUUUCUAGAAGUAAAUGUUCCAAAGCCUCCCUUCAAAAAUUCAAUACUGUAAAUUAAGAAAUUUAUUGUGUGCAUUUAUUAUUAUAAAUUUGGACAAAUGAACAGAACUGCAAGUUUAAUUAUUGAGAUUUUAGGAAAAGCUACAUACAUUUUUUAAUCAUUUUAUGUAUUUGAAAUGAUAAUGCUAGUCUUAUUAUUCUGAUAAUCAAGAAGUCGAAUAAUUGGCAUUAAUAAAAACCUCACAAUUCCGAAUUUACAGUUAUCUUCAAAGGGCUAUAACUCCAAUAAACAGUGAAUUGGCAGAUUUGGUCACUAUAGUAGUGGUACCUCUUGCAUUGAUGGUAAUUAUUGGUUUUUGCAUUCUCCAUCUUUGUUUUAUAGUGAGCACAUGCAAGUGGUGAAUUAUCUACAAUCAUUAGAAAUAUAGUCUGUUUUUUUCUUCUUCAAUUGUAUAAAUUCUUCUUGAUCUUAACAGAGAGAACAUAUUUAUCAAAGGUACCAGGAUUAUAAUUUAGUACGCCAGACGCGCGUUUCGUCUACAUAAGGCUCAUCAGUGAUGCUCAUAUCAAAAUAUUUAUUAAGCCAAACAAGUAAAAAGUUGAAGAGCAUUGAGGAUCCAAAAUUCCAAAAAGUUGUGCCAAAUACGGCUAAGGUAAUCUAUGCCUGGGAUAAGAAAGUUCUUAGUUUUAAGAAGAAUUCAAAGUUUUGUAAACAGGAAAUUUGUAAAAAUUACCACAUUAUUGAUAUUCAUGUCACCACCGAAGUGUUGACUACUGAACUGGUGAUACCCUUGGGGACGAAACGUCCACUAGCAGUGUUGCAAGUUCUCAGAUGUGCUGAGGAAUAAUAGGAGCAAAAUUGCUACUUGGUUUUUCAGGUACCUGGUAUCUGAGAUAAAGCAUUUGACUUUCCUAAAAUGGCGAAUCUUCCUUAUAACACAAACAAUAAUAUAAAAUAUAAUAAAAAAAACUUUUAUUAUCCUACACUUUUGCAGAUAUCUAAAUUGGAAAUUUAAACACUUGUUGUAAAAUCAUAAUUAAAUGCAUAUGAUAUUGUACCAACUGUAAAUUUUUGUUUCUGACAUUAAAUUCAAAUAAAGAAAGACUGACUGAUUAUUUCUUUGACAAAAGUAAAAAUAAUAUACUAGAAUGUUUUGUUAAAUCGCCCUAAGAAUUCUUAAGCUGUUACAUUUAGUCAAAAAAACAACACAUUGAAACAUUUAAAUUAAAAACUAGCUAAAACAAUAUCUUUCCAAUAUCAAAUCAAAAACUAGACAUUUCAACCUCUUUUACCUUCCCUUACACAUGCAUUUCGCCAUUAGUUUGAUAACCAAAAGCUGAUAAAUUUGUGCCUAGGAUUUAGGUUUAUCAUACUAAUUGCUGCUUUCACAUAGUUUUACUGAUCUUGUAAUUGCAAAUUGUUUUUUAAUUUAAAUUUUAUAAUUAAGCAAGC